CUACGGGGGGCUCCAGUAGGGAAUAUUGGGCAAUGGGCGAGAGCCUGACCCAGCCAUGCCGCGUGCAGGAUGAAGGCCUUCUGGGUUGUAAACUGCUUUUAUAAGGGAAGAAAACGUUCCUGCGGGAAUAACUGACGGUACCUUAUGAAUAAGCACCGGCUAACUCCGUGCCAGCAGCCGCGGUAAUACGGAGGGUGCAAGCGUUGUCCGGUUUUAUUGGGUUUAAAGGGUGCAUAGGCGGAUUGUUAAGUCAGUGGUGAAAGUCUGCGGCUCAACCGUAGAAGUGCCAUUGAUACUGGCAGUCUUGAGUACAGUAGAGGUAGGCGGAAUUUAUGGUGUAGCGGUGAAAUGCAUAGAUACCAUAAAGAACACCUAUAGCGAAGGCAGCUUACUAUGCUGUAACUGACGCUGAGGCACGAAAGCGUGGGGAGCGAACAGGAUUAGAUACCCGGGUAGUC
rnacentral:rRNA from 1 species